UCGCGCACUGAACAAGCGCUUCUCCCCCGAUGAAUCGGCCAGGCCCUUCUCCCGCAACAGUCCCACUCCCAACCCUAGCCGCCAGUGCAUCGUAGGGGGCGCGGCAGCGGCCGACAGGACGAAGCACGCGGCCACGCCGCCCUUAACCAGAUGCCCCGGUAGCGCCGCCUUCUUCCCCCUUGAUGUCCCGCACGAGCGCCACCGCGACGAGGACCUGCUCUCCAUCUCCCUCUGCUGCCCCAUUUGAGCGCCGCCGUGAUCUCGACAUGCUCCAGCGACGCCGCUCUGAUCGAGCUCCUCUGCAACCAGCAAGACCUCCGCCUCCAUCUCCCUCUGCCGCUGCCAGCAAUCGAAAAGCGUGAUGAAGGAUUUUUCUUUCUCUUCAAUUCAUUCAGUCAUAUGAAAGGGGAACUACCGAUAGAUAAAUCAUAUGUCCAUACACCAUGUACUUUCCUCUGUCUAUCUUUAAGGGAAAUCAUUUUUGUUCAGAUUGAAGAUAUGCACUUUACCUUCAUAAUGUGUAUUCUUAUAUUCCAUCAACUCGAGUGUGUCAUUACACCUUGCAGGCGUGCAUUAUGUAUCUUCAACUAUUAUAUUUCUUGAAUACACCUAGGCCUAGCUGACCAGUGAUUUUGUAGUUCUCUACUACCAGAUCCAUCUUUUGACUGGCUUUUGGAUAUUAUCUGCAAGUGAUUGUUUAAAGUUUUUAUUACUAUAGAACAAUGGAAGUAUAGCAAGUUCGUUUGUUCCACUGAGCAAUAUUUAUUUAAUUUGCAUAUUCAUGCGA